rnacentral:rRNA from 1 species
CAGGCCUAACACAUGCAAGUCGAACGGACUGGCGCCUAGUGGAAGCUCGCUGGAAACGGGGACCAUGAGAAAUCGUGAGAACCGUCGAUGGCGAGUGAAAGCUAUUAGCCGGUCAGUGGCGAACGGGUGAGUAACACGUGGGUGACCUGCCCCGAAGUGGGGGAUAACUGCUCGAAAGGGUAGCUAAUACCGCAUGUGCUUCGGCAUUCGUUUGUCGAAGCAAAGGAGCAAUCCGCUUUGGGAGGGGCCCGCGGCCCAUCAGCUAGUUGGUAGGGUAAUGGCCUACCAAGGCUAUAACGGGUAGCUGGUCUGAGAGGACGAUCAGCCACACUGGCACUGAGACACGGGCCAGACUCCUACGGGAGGCAGCAGUGAGGAAUAUUGUGCAAUGGGCGAAAGCCAGACGCAGCAACGCCGCGUGGGCGAUGAAGGUCUUCGGAUCGUAAAGCCCUUUUCCAGAGGAAGAGGAAGGACAGUACUCUGGGAAUAAGUCUCGGCUAACUACGUGCCAGCAGCCGCGGUAAAACGUAGGAGGCAAGCGUUAUCCGGAUUUAUUGGGCGUAAAGCGCGUGCAGGCGGUGCCUUAAGUUGGACGUGAAUCUC